GAUGAAGAACGUAGCGAAAUGCGAUAAUUAAUGUGAAUUGCAGAAUUUAGUGAAUCAUCGAGUCUUUGAACGCACAUUGCGCCUCAUGGUAUUCCGUGAGGCAUGCCUGUCUGAGCGUCAACAACACCACUCAAGCAUUGCUCUCUUGCUCUGCUUGGUCCAUGUCAGGGAAGCGGUUGGGCCUGUCCAACUGCCCCUUGAAAAGCAAUAGAUGGUCAGGUUGUCACCUUAAGCCAAACGUCAUAUGAUUCUUAUCGUUCGUUUGUCUAUCUGACUUCUUGACAGUUGUUGAACCCAACAGCACCAUGCUGUUUAUUCUGACUUGACCUCAGAUCAGGUAGGGAUACCCGCUGAACUUAAGCAUAUCAAUAAGCGGAGG
rnacentral:misc_RNA from 1 species